UCUUGGCUUUUCACGUUUCAUUCCUGCUUAUAGCUAAGGUUUUUUUUAGCCAUUGUCACUCUAAGGUUGCCCAUUAAUGGUUUGGAAUUGGGAAUGUAAAGCUGUUUUGUUAGCAUGUCUGCCUUACAAUUCCUUUACUGUAAGUCGAGGCCUGCUGGAGCUCAAUUCUGCUUCAUGGCACUUGUAUUUACUCUUUAUUUUGCAUUACAUUAUGUGUGAGACUAACCCCUUUCUCUACCUCUCCAUUCCUCCUGUCGAGCUCCAUACAGAACUAGUGGAGAAAAGGGGUGCUUGGAGGGGGGACGAUAUCUCUAGAUGCCCACUUAAGAAAGAUCUGCGUUACCUUCCAAACUUAAGUGGAUUGAACAUGGGUGCUGUUGAAUUAAUAAAAAAAUGCACUGUAUUAAAAAUUAUUUUGUUUAUAUAACAUAAAAUUGAACUAUAAACAUGAAAUUUAAAUCUGUCGUGCAAAAAUAGUCAUGCAAAGUCAUUGAUUUAUUUUUAAUACAAUUGCACUGUGAUACAUUUAACAUCAUAUUUUCAGUUCUGCCUAACAGAACUAACAAUUUUACAGGCUUUUGUUGAAAUUACCUUAAAAAUUCAUCUGGAAUGUAUCGAUUUAUGCUGUAAUUAAUGAUGCAAAUUAACGCAGAUGGGGCCAUUUUGACCCAAAACAGCUAGUUGGAGGGUAGCAAUCCUCCAGAUUGUAAAGGUCAAGAUACUGGAGCAAAAAAGAAAAACAGUGAAAGCUGUCAGAAACAGGCAGGAAACUCUGCAUGGAUGUUUUUGAAGAGGUAGACGGGUCCAGUUGGCUGUAUUAGUCAGAGUGCUAAGAAACAUAGCGCCAACAAGCCCAUGGCCCCUUUUCAUGUAAAACUUCGUACAGGAGGCUGUUUGUGCAGUUUAGUGCCUUUGUUAGCCUCGGCUCCUGUAAAUCAUAUAAGCACACCCACCACACCCCUAGGAGCAUUCAGUGUGCCCCCACCUGCCAACCUGCCUGUCCCCCCAACCCACAGACCGUCUGUAGUUCUGAAAUUUAUCCACAUGGCUGUUGACCAAGUCUAAGGUAAAAUUCCAUAAAUGAAAUUUUCAGUAAAAUACAAUUUUUUCCUCUAAUCUGGGAGACAGUGCAGAAUUAUUGAAGUCGGUCCUAACUCUGUCUUGAAUAUGUACCCAGCAGGCACCUAGGACUCGUAUCUCCCUCUGAGAAUCUCUUCUAAGGCGCUCAGCAGCAGAAAUUCUCCAUCCUAGAUGAGCCUGCAAAGUUCUGUAGAAGUUAAAUAUACUUUAGUCAAAUGAGAGACUAACCUGCUGUCAGGCUGGGGAAGCUUGAACAAGGCCUUCAUUCAUGACAGCUCCACUUGGCUUUUUGACGAGUCCCCAUUUAGAUGCAGCACGUCAGAGACUGAAGAGCAGGAUGAAGGCUAAAUUCUCUCAAGAAAGAAGUUGCCUCUUACCAUGUCACAAGCAAUUAGUUUUACCCAAAAAGGAGGAGGACCCCUCUCUGCUCCCCGUGUUAAAAAACAAUACACCGCCUCACAGGCCAGAGCCACAGCCUUCUCCUCUCUGCUGGGUGGAAGAACAACUCUCACACAGUGGAAGUCCUCCAGACCCCCUGCCUUCAGACAAUAGGUUAAAGAUGUGUUUUCUAUGUUACCUUUUGAAAAUCUGAGAUACAGCAGAGGCAACUGUAGGAAGAGCUUUCAUGCUGUCUGGUCUCCUUUCACUGAAAAUGUGGAGGGCCUGUAUCUCACUUGGAAGAUAUUAUUUAAUCCCUUAUAUUACAAACCAAAGAAUAUUGCACUACACCAUUACUAGGCUACACAAAGUUAUUUU